rnacentral:rRNA from 1 species
GAUGAACGCUAGCGGCAGGCUUAAUACAUGCAAGUCGAGGGGUAGCAAGAUUGUAGCAAUACAAUUGUUGACGACCGGCAAACGGGUGCGGAACACGUACACAACCUUCCUACAAGUGGGGAAUAGCCCAGAGAAAUUUGGAUUAAUACCCCGUAACAUAGCGAUGUGGCAUCACAUUGCUAUUAUAGCCUCGGCGCUUGUUGAUGGGUGUGCGGCUGAUUAGAUAGUUGGCGGGGUAACGGCCCACCAAGUCUACGAUCAGUAGCUGAUGUGAGAGCAUGAUCAGCCACACGGGCACUGAGACACGGGCCCGACUCCUACGGGAGGCAGCAGUAAGGAAUAUUGGACAAUGGACGCAAGUCUGAUCCAGCCAUGCCGCGUGAAGGAUUAAGGUCCUCUGGAUUGUAAACUUCUUUUAUAAGGGACGAAAAAAGGCUUUUCUAAGUCGUCUGACGGUACCUUAUGAAUAAGCACCGGCUAACUCCGUGCCAGCAGCCGCCGUAACAC